GCCCGGGUAGCUCAGCUGGUAGAGCAUGAGUCUCUUAAUCUCAGGGUCUUGGGUU
rnacentral:tRNA from 1 species